UGAUGCACCAGAUGUGAUGCUGAUGCUCAUCAGUUUGGCCAAUUUAUACAACCAGAUAAACAGUUUCUGAGGAAAAGUAAAGGAUUUCAGUCCUAACAUCACCACUUAUCUUGUGUGUGACAACAUGAGGAUGUUAUUUUUUCUGCUGUUAUGUGGUGUUUCAUCAGCAG